UUACGAUCCCUAGUAGCGGCGAGCGAAGCGGGAAGAGCUCAAAUUUAUAAUCUGGCACCUUCGGUGUCCGAGUUGUAAUCUCUAGAAAUGUUUUCCGCGUUGGACCGCACACAAGUCUGUUGGAAUACAGCGGCAUAGUGGUGAGACCCCCGUAUAUGGUGCGGACGCCCAGCGCUUUGUGAUACAUUUUCGAAGAGUCGAGUUGUUUGGGAAUGCAGCUCAAAUUGGGUGGUAAAUUCCAUCUAAAGCUAAAUAUUGGCGAGAGACCGAUAGCGAACAAGUACCGUGAGGGAAAGAUGAAAAGCACUUUGGAAAGAGAGUUAACAGUACGUGAAAUUGUUGGAAGGGAAACGCUUGAAGUCAGACUUGCUUGCCGAGCAAUCGGUUUGCAGGCCAGCAUCAGUUUUCCGGGAUGGAUAAUGGUAAAGAGAAGGUAGCAGUUUCGGCUGUGUUAUAGCUCUCUACUGGAUACAUCCUGGGGGACUGAGGAACGCAGUGUGCCUUUGGCGGGGGUUUCGACCUCUUCACACUUAGGAUGCUGGUGGAAUGGUUUUAAACGACCCGUCUAAAAAAAAAGAAAAAAAAAAAAGAAAAUUAAAAAAAAAAAAAAAAAAAAAAAAAGAAAUUA
rnacentral:rRNA from 1 species